rfam:Parcubacteria bacterium GW2011_GWF2_38_76 TT05_C0002, whole genome shotgun sequence.
GGCCUGGUUGCUAAGUGGUAAAGCGACGGUCUGCAAAACCGUUAUGCGGGAGUUCGAUUCUCCCCCAGGCCU